rnacentral:rRNA from 1 species
GCCUAGCCAUAACACACAAUCAAACCACGAAUUGUUCGCCAAACAACUACGAGUAAUACUUAAAACUUAAAAGACUUGACGGUACUUCACCCCAGCCUAGAGGAGCCUGUCCAAUAACCGAUAACCCACGAUUAACCCAACCACUUCUCGCCCAACAGUCUAUAUACCGCCGUCGUCAGCUUACCUUGUAAAAGAAAUAAAGUGAGCUAAACAGUAACACACUAAAACGACAGGUCGAGGUGUAACUCAUGAAGUGGACCAAGAUGGGCUACAUUCUCCAACAGAGCACACGAACAACACUAUGAAAUUAGUGUUCGAAGGAGGAUUUAGCAGUAAGAUAAGAAUAAAAUACUUAACUGAACAUAACGCAAUGAAGUGCGCACACACCGCCCGUCACCCCUGCCACCAC